GACGAACGCUGGCGGCGUGCCUAAUACAUGCAAGUCGAACGCACUCUCGUUUAGAUUGAAGGAGCUUGCUCCUGAUUGAUAAACAUUUGAGUGAGUGGCGGACGGGUGAGUAACACGUGGGUAACCUGCCCUAAAGUGGGGGAUAACAUUUGGAAACAGAUGCUAAUACCGCAUAAAACCUAACACCGCAUGGUGUAGGGUUGAAAGAUGGUUUCGGCUAUCACUUUAGGAUGGACCCGCGGUGCAUUAGUUAGUUGGUGAGGUAAAGGCUCACCAAGACCGUGAUGCAUAGCCGACCUGAGAGGGUAAUCGGCCACACUGGGACUGAGACACGGCCCAGACUCCUACGGGAGGCAGCAGUAGGGAAUCUUCCACAAUGGACGAAAGUCUGAUGGAGCAACGCCGCGUGAGUGAAGAAGGUUUUCGAUCGUAAAACUCUGUUGUUGGAGAAGAAUGUAUCUGAUAGUAACUGAUCAGGUAGUGACGGUAUCCAACCAGAAAGCCACGG
rnacentral:rRNA from 1 species